UGAGACGAAAAACCCGAGUUUCGGGUUCGGGUUCGAGUUCGAGAAUUUUGUGCCGGGUUAUCUCACGGGUACCGGCAAAAAAAUAAAAUUACAAAAAUACCCUUGAUAUUUAAUAUAUUUACAAAAACUACCCCUAACCCUAAUUCACCCUAACUUUCUCUCUGACGAAUCGUGGCCUGCCUCUGCGCCUCCUCUUCACUGUCUUCAGAACAGAUCUCUUCGUUCUUCAGGACAACUCUCUCGCUCUCAGUCUCUCUCAGCUUCUACGUCGGUCGGCUCGGCUCUGCUCCGUCGUUUCUUCGUCUCCGUCGUUCGGCUCGCUUCUCCUCUGUCUCCGCCAUCGUUCGCAUCUCGGUCUCUCUCCGUCUGCUCUGUCUCUGUCGUUCGGCUCUACUCGGUCUCCGUCGUUCGGCUCUGCUCCGUCGUUUCUUCGUCUCCGUCAUUCAGCUCGCUUCUCCUCUGUUUCCGCCAUCGUUCGCCUCUUGGUCUCUCUCCGUCUGCUCGGUCUCUAUCAUCUAUUAUUUCUUCUUUGGCAGACAACUCAAACACAGAGGACAACGUUAUGUUUGGAUGUGUUUGGAUUGGAUAUGUUUGGAUGUGGUUGAACAUAUAAAUUUAAAUUUUGGACUUUGUUGAACUUAUGAAUUUUAUAUUUUUUGAUGUUUUUGGAUAUGUUUGGCUGCUGUUGAACUUAUGGUGGAACCUAUGGUGCAUUUUGGAAGUUGGAUUUUAUGUUAUUGAUGUAUUAAUUUUAUAGAUUUGACCA